UACGGAGGGGGCUAGCGUUGUUCGGAAUUACUGGGCGUAAAGCGCACGUAGGCGGCUUUGUAAGUUAGAGGUGAAAGCCCGGAGCUCAACUCCGGAAUUGCCUUUAAGACUGCACCGCUAGAAUUGUGGAGAGGUGAGUGGAAUUCCGAGUGUAGAGGUGAAAUUCGUAGAUAUUCGGAAGAACACCAGUGGCGAAGGCGACUCACUGGACACAUAUUGACGCUGAGGUGCGAAAGCGUGGGGAGCAAACAGG
rnacentral:rRNA from 1 species